CACGUCGGGCGCCCGCUUUUUCCUUCCUUAUUUUUCUUAAAUAGCUCGUAGGCGGUCUGUUACGUCUGCUGUGAAAACCCUGGGCUUAACCCUGGGCUUGCAGUGGAUACGGGCAGACUAGAGGCAGGUAGGGGAGAAUGGAAUUCCCGGUGUAGCGGUGAAAUGCGCAGAUAUCGGGAGGAACACCGGUGGCGAAGGCGGUUCUCUGGGCCUGACCUGACGCUGAGGAGCGAAAGCGUGGGGAGCGAACAGG
rnacentral:rRNA from 1 species